UUGAUUAGUGAGAGUGAAAAAAGAGAGGAUGAGAAAAAUGAUGAGGAGAAAAAAUAAAGGAUAGUAUUGAUGGUGAAGUUGGGGAGUGGAGUGAGGAAGAAGUUGAAAAGGACGGAAAAAAUGGUGAAGUAGAAAAUAAAGAAAGUGUGGAAGUAGAAAAAAGUAAGAGUGAUGUAGUGAAGGUGGAGGGAGUAAAAAAGAAACGAGAGAGGAAUUCUAUAGCUUCUAGAGGAAAUAAGGUAGUGGGCGUUACUCC
rnacentral:lncRNA from 1 species